GACGAACGCUGGCGGCGUGCCUAACACAUGCAAGUCGAGCGGGGAGGAGGAAGCUUGCUUCCGAAUCCUAGCGGCGGACGGGUGAGUAACGCGUGAGCAACCUGCCUCAAACAGGGGGAUAACGCAUCGAAAGAUGUGCUAAUACCGCGUAAGACCACAGAGGGGCAUCCUUCAGGGGUCAAAGAUUUAUCACUGAGAGGUGGGCUCGCGUCUGAUUAGAUAGUUGGUGGGGUAACGGCCUACCAAGUCGACGAUCAGUAGCCGACCUGAGAGGGUGAUCGGCCACAUUGGGACUGAGACACGGCCCAAACUCCUACGGGAGGCAGCAGUGGGGAAUAUUGGGCAAUGGGGGAAACCCUGACCCAGCAACGCCGCGUGGAGGAAGAAGGUUUUCGGAAUUCGUAAAACUCCUGUCCUCAGGGAAGAGCAGAAGACGGUACCUGAGGAGGAAGCCCCGGCUAACUACGUG
rnacentral:rRNA from 1 species